GUCAGUUUGAUCCACUGAAGUAGGCUGCUCUUUUGUAGUGUUGGAUGCAGUUGAUAAAUUGUUAGUGUCAAGGAAUAGGCAAACUACAGCACAAUCAUCAACUUUGGAGGUUGGAUACUUGUAUCUCCAUGCUCGAACUGCUGACUCAACCAAGGCUCUUGCUGCAGAGGAACGUGAUGGGGCUGAAGAUACAAUGUCUACCACUUCUUUAUUUGAGAGAACAUCCCAAAUCCCAUCAGUUGCCAAAACUAUAAACUCAUCCUUAUCAGUUAGGCGCUGGCAGGAUAUAUCGGGCACAGAGAUAAGGCCAAAAUCCUUCAAGCAAAAAUCACCAAAUGCUCGUGCCAUGGCAAGGCCAGGAGAGUCAUUGUUUGGUAGCCAGACCCUAGCUACCUCAGGUUCAUCCUGAAGAACGCCCUUUACACUUCUGUAUUCUUUCCGCUUCCGCUGGAAGAUUUGGUU
rnacentral:misc_RNA from 1 species